UCAACAGCACUGGAAACUCAUCUCCACAGAUCAGAUUUCCUUAUAUUGCCCCACCAAUGUGUGUCAACCUCAGCCUUGAAAGAUCAUCUCUAGGUGAGAGGUCAUUCAGUUACCAUACUCAUUCAAUCCUUGACUUCU
rnacentral:sRNA from 1 species